rnacentral:lncRNA from 1 species
AAAAUAUAGGCCCGAAAUAUCGGUAAUGACAAUAAUGACAAUAUGAAUAAAAAAUAGAAUAUCGGGCCUCCGGUCCUCCACCACUCCACCUCCACUCCAAGACAGUAGGUGGCGUUGUUGUUCUCUUCACUUCGACUCUUCUGCAACUUCCGACCCACACCCUUCAAAUCAACAAGUUCAAGGUAACAUGCUUCGAUUCUUCUUCAAUCUUCACUUUAGUUUUCAUUUCAAUUGAAAUUUUCGAGCUUUACAUUUUAGUCAUGUACUUAAGAGAAGGCUGCUCUUUAUUGCUGAGUUUAGUAACUGACAGUGACAUGCUUCGAUUUUCUGCUUUUCUAUUCUUUACUUGUUUAUGCCAUAAUUAACUUACUACCACCUUGUUUUCACUUUAGUAGUAGACGUGGAGUUCAAAUCUGUGAUUCUGUACAUGUUCUUUUUAUUGAGAUCUCAACACAUGUCUCAGUUCCUUUGAGCUGUCAAAAAAUUACAAAAUAUGUGGCUCAAACCAACACUUCCAAAAAAGAAAGAGACAUUGUUUUAAAUUCUCUUCUUGUAUGAAAACAGACCAAACAAGUUUUAAUGAACAUAAGAGAAAUAGGACUUUGAUAAUGAAAUGAUUUUGAUAGGUCUAAGAACAUGUUCAGUAGUGGUCCAAAAAAACAAACAACCAACCCUCUUUGCUCAUUCCAUUAUUACUUCACUUAUAUUCCAUAAACCGAUUUUCAAUUUCUCCAUUUUUCUUACUUAGCAGUUAGCUCUACAAAUGACCUAAUUCAGAUCGAUUUUCAAUUUCUCAAUUUAGAAUUCAUUAGAUAUAAGUUAUACAUACGCUGUAGAAGUGGAUGUUCAUACACUCUCAUCUCUUAUUUUGGUUUUUUUUCUUCUCCUCUUUCCCUUGUCAUUCAUCAAUUUGUUUCUAGUAAAUGGUUGUUAAAUUUAAAUAUUAGUAGAUUCUGAAAAUAAAAUCAGACUCUUAAUUAUUAAAUUUAAAUAUUAGUUGACUUAAAUUUUGAUCUUUGAAAGCCAUGUUAUUUUUGUCUUUUUUGUUGGUUUAAUUUUAGAUUUAUGUUAUUUCAAAUUCGAAUAAAUUUUAGGAUCAGAUUUGGGUUCUAAGUAAUUUUGUAUUCAAGGGAUAAAGAGAUAAAAAAUUAAAUAGAGACUUAAAAUGACUUUUUUUUAUAAAGUUAAAAAUAAAUAAAUGCAUCUAACAAAGGGGAAAUCAUUUCCCAGGUUAGCAUGUUUCUUUGCUUUGGUUGAUCAAUAACAGGAAGAAGGCAGUGUGUUUUUUUAUGUGCCAUGCUUAGUCGAGUAUUGUAUUCACCUAUCACUUAUCUAGAAAUCAAACUCCAGUUUAUAUCUUCUAGGGGCGUAGAUGCUGACAACUCUUUGCUCAUUCCAUUAUUACUUCACUUCUUGCAGUAGUAACAUUUCCCAUUGUAUUUUCUACAUGUUAUUCAUAAUUUUAAUCUCAUCUUUUUUUGUUUUUGCUUUGUUUUAUUGCAGAAACAAGCUAUUGAGGCA